rnacentral:snRNA from 1 species
GUGCUCCCUUCGGCAGCACAUAUACUAAAAUUGGAACGAUACAGAGAAGAUUAGCAUGGUCCCUGCGCAAGAACGACAUGCAAAUUCGUGAAGCAUUCCAUUAAAAA